rnacentral:misc_RNA from 1 species
GAUGAAGAACGCAGCGAAAUGCGAUAAGUAAUGUGAAUUGCAGAAUUCAGUGAAUCAUCGAAUCUUUGAACGCACAUUGCGCCCGCCAGUAUUCUGGCGGGCAUGCCUGUCUGAGCGUCAUUUCAACCCUCAAGCACAGCUUGGUGUUGGGACUCGCGUUAAUUCGCGUUCCCCAAAUUGAUUGGCGGUCACGUCGAGCUUCCAUAGCGUAGUAGUAAAACCCUCGUUACUGGUAAUCGUCGCGGCCACGCCGUUAAACCCCAACUUCUGAAUGUUGACCUCGGAUCAGGUAGGAAUACCCGCUGAACUUAAGCAUAUCAAUAAGCGGAGGA